GACAGAGGCCCCGAGCGUUAGGCGGAAUCACUGGGCUUAAAGCGUGUGUAGGCGGAUCGUUAAGUGUCUUGUGAAAUCCCACGGCUCACCCGUGGAACUGCUGGGCAUACUGGCGAUCUUGGGCCAACUAGGGGCAGUCGGAACAAGCGGUGGAGCGGUGAAAUGCGUAGAUAUCGCUUGGAACGCCGAAGGUGAAAACAGACUGCUACUGACACUGAGGAACGAAAGCCAGGGGAGCAAACGGG
rnacentral:rRNA from 1 species